rnacentral:miRNA from 1 species
AUAAAGCUAGAUAACCG